UACGUAGGUGGCAAGCGUUGUCCGGAUUUAUUGGGUUUAAAGGGUGCGUAGGCGGUCUUUUAAGUCAGUGCUGAAAUACUCCAGCUUAACUGGAGGGGUGGCAUUGAUACUGGAAGACUUGAGUGCAGUCGAAGUAGGCGGAAUUGACGGUGUAGCGGUGAAAUGCUUAGAUAUCGUCAAGAACACCGAUAGUGAAGAUAGCUUACUAGGCUGCAACUGACGCUGAGGCACGAAAGUGUGGGGAUCAAAACAGG
rnacentral:rRNA from 1 species